UUUGAUGGAAGAGUCGUUUUAGUUGAGGAUGAUUCACAUGCUAUAAGUAGGAGUGAGCAAAGCAUGUCAAAUCAAAUUUUUAUGUUGUUGUAAUGUGAAAUCAAAUUGAUCAAUUAAUUAUGAUGAUUCUACUCGUGGGAUCAAAUAAUAUAGCAUAAAUUUGUGAUUAGAUAAUAUAGCAUCAUCUAUGUGCAUGCUAAAUAUGCUUUGAGAUUUUGACAAUAUUUAGCUGUUUGCAAGUUGAGAGUCCCCGGAUGCUGUGUUCAUUGCAAAAGAAUGUGGCAGCUAUUGGAGUUGCACUCCAGGCUUUGUACUAGUUAUGAUGUUUGUAGGGUGCCUUUUGCGCAGGAGAUACGAUUCCUGAGUGGUUCAACCACUAUAAGGAAGCUUCAAAUAAUACUGAAUCAUGUGAAAUAGAUAUCGAUGGGAGUGAUCUAUAUUUGGAUGAGCUAAGAGGAAUAGCUCUUUGUGCUGUUAUUAAAGCAGAUUCUGAAAGAUUUGCAUUUGAUCUCUUCCAUUUUCUAGUGUUGUUGAGAUCACUAUUAACAUGCGCACAAAUAAUAUAAUAGCUCUUUGUGCUGUUAUCAUAGGGAGUACUAAUUUGCUCUAGAGGCUUUUAAGCCAGACGAGAAAGGUCUGAAUGUUGAGUUUUCUUGUAAUUCAAGCUCAUUAUACAUUAAAAGUUGCGGAGUCCAUUUGGUAUGUAAGCAUGUAGAGAACACAAAAGAUCAUUUAGAUGUCCUCUACCUAUGAACAUGACUACGACUUAAAUCUGACUGCCAUCGACAACACAACAUGAAUGACGAUUCUAAGUUUUUCUUCA